AAAAUUGCGUACCUAUUUUUGCAUAUGGAGUAGAAGAACCAUGACAUGAGGAAAAAAAAAAAGAAAACCAUCAGACAGAGACAAUCACUAAUGAAAACAUUCAUGAAAGGAAAAAAAAAAAUAAGGCAUACAAAAACAUUUUUUGUUUCUCUCAUUUGAGAGUUUCUUAAUUACAAUACUCAAAAACUUAAUGGAUUUCACACACACACACACACACAUAUAUAUAUAUAUACUUUAUCGAUCCAGCAUUGCUUUGCAGUUCAGUUCAUUAAUUAUAGAAUAUAUAUGUUGUAUGUACAUAUCAAAAUGUUUUUGUGAAAAGAUUAAUAGAAUUUAACCUAACAGCUGUUAGAGUAUUUGUGUUUUAUGAAAAAAGAAAAUACGAUGUCUGCAAAAAGGGAAAUUCAUGUUGUUUUUUUUUUUUUUUUUUUCUUUUGAUCAAGGGAAAUUCAUGUUCAUUCUUCCUGCUUACAAGUUACAACAGUAACAAUUGACUAUUUUAAAUAUUAUUACAGGAUAAGUGGAUGUGUAAUCAACGACUUAUGAUAUUACGACUACCAAAUGAAUAUAUAUGAUGUAAUCAAAGAAUUAUGAUCUUACGACUGCCAAAUAAAU
rnacentral:lncRNA from 1 species